UGCUACCUGCAGUCGACGCGAAAGUCCCGCAAGGGAUUAGUAGAGUGGCAAACGGGUGAGUAACACGUGGGUGACCUGCCUUCGAGUGGGGGAUAACGUCCCGAAAGGGUCGCUAAUACCGCAUAACAUCCUGCCUUUUAAGAGGUGGAGAUCAAAGCCGGGGAUCGCAAGACCUGGCGCUUGAAGAGGGGCCCGCGUCCGAUUAGCUAGUUGGUGGGGUAAUGGCUCACCAAGGCUUCGAUCGGUAUCCGGCCUGAGAGGGCGGACGGACACACUGGGACUGAGGCACGGCCCAGGCUCCUACGGGAGGCAGCAGUGGGGAAUUGUUCGCAAUGGGCGCAAGCCUGACGACGCAACGCCGCGUGGAGGAUGAAGAUCUUCGGGUCGUAAACUCCUUUCGAUCGAGACGAAUGGCCUUCGGGUGAACAGUCCGGAGGAAUGACGGUACCGAGAGAAGAAGCCCCGGCUAACUCCGUGCCAGCAGCCGCGGUAAUACGGGGGGGGCAAGCGUUGUUCGGAAUUACUGGGCGUAAAGGGCUCGUAGGUGGCCAACUAAGUCGGACGUGAAAUCCCUCGGCUUAACCGGGGAACUGCAUCCGAUACUGGAUGGCUUGAGUUCGGGAGAGGGAUGCGGAAUUCCAGGUGUAGCGGUGAAAUGCGUAGAUAUCUGGAGGAACACCGGUGGCGAAGGCGGCAUCCUGGACCGACACUGACACUGAGGAGCGAAAGCCAGGGGAGCAAACGGGAUUAGAUACCCCGGUAGUCCUGGCCCUAAACGAUGAAUGCUUGGUGUGGCGGGUAUCGAUCCCUGCCGUGCCGAAGCUAACGCAUUAAAGCAUUCCCCCCUGGGG
rnacentral:rRNA from 1 species